rnacentral:rRNA from 1 species
UGGGGAAUUUUGGACAAUGGGCGAAAGCCUGAUCCAGCAAUGCCGCGUGUGUGAAGAAGGCCUUCGGGUUGUAAAGCACUUUUGUCCGGAAAGAAAUCCUUGGCUCUAAUACAGUCGGGGGAUGACGGUACCGGAAGAAUAAGCACCGGCUAACUACGUGCCAGCAGCCGCGGUAAUACGUAGGGUGCAAGCGUUAAUCGGAAUUACUGGGCGUAAAGUGUGCGCAGGCGGUUUGCUAAGACCGAUGUGAAAUCCCCGGGCUCAACCUGGGAACUGCAUUGGUGACUGGCAGGCUAGAGUAUGGCAGAGGGGGUAGAAUUCCACGUGUAGCAGUGAAAUGCGUAGAGAUGUGGAGGAAUACCGAUGGUGAAGGCAGCCCCCUGGGCCAAUACUGACGCUCAUGCACGAAAAGCGUGGGGGAGCAAAACAGGAUUAGAUACCCUGGUAGUCCACGCCCUAAAACGAUGUCAACUAGUUGUUGGGGGAUUCAUUUUCCUUAGUAACGUAGCUAACGCGUGAAGUUGACCGCCU